rnacentral:tRNA from 1 species
GUUUUAAUAGUUUAAUAAAAACAUUGGUCUUGUAAACCAAAAAUAAGAAAUUUUCUUUUAAAACU